rnacentral:snoRNA from 1 species
AGACUCAUUCUUAACGAGAAGGGCACUGUUGGUCACAGUGUCCAGAAAUUGUUAUUGGGGCUAAAUUGAGAUACAAGUUAAGCUUACAUUACAGUAAAUUUAUUGCAAUGGUGACAAUGAGUCCAGUAACAUUU